rnacentral:lncRNA from 1 species
AUGGCAUAUUUGCAGCAGAAUGGCAUCCAGAAAUCAUUGUAAUUGUGCCAGUAUUUCAUGCGCUUAUUUAAGAGUAUUUUCUGUUCAAGGAUUUCAAAACACUUCUCUAAUGGUACGGAGAAAAGUCAACAUGGUAGAGAAGUAGGGGGACUCAAAUUUCCCUUGUCUCUCAAACACAGCAAUGUUGAGGCCAGAAGACUUGGAAUUCCAGGAAUGUGGACUACAAAUGACAGAAACAUCUCCAGGGGCCAUGUGGACAACUUGGCAGGCCAUAGCAAGCUGGGGCAAGUUCAUCUAACACCUCCUUUGAAGACCAGCAGAUGUUUCAUAAAGGGUCUAUACGUGGGAGGUCUAAGUACAGAGCUUGACUGUGAACUUUCAUCAAGUACCCAGGGUGUAUUGCAGAAAGACAAUAGAAGAUUGAGAAUGAUUAAUCACCAACUGAAAGGGAAGUAUGAAAGCUAAAGGGACUCACUGGCAGCAUAUCAAGAGACUUGAGCCUGACGCAGGAAAACUGAGGCUUCCUUCCAGGAUUUAUUAUUAUUAUUUUUUUAACGUUUAUUCAUUCUUGAGAGAUGCAGAGAGACAGAGCAUGAGUCUGGGGAGGGGCAGAGAGAGAGGGAGACACAGAAUCAGAAGCAGUCUCCAGGCUCUGAGAUGUCAACACAGAGCCUGAUGCGGGGCUCGAACUCAUGAACCGUGAGAUCAUGACCUGAGCCAAAAUCAGACACCCAACUGAUUGAGCCACCCAGGUUCCCUUCCAGGAUUUAAUUUUAAGAGCAGAAUUCCAGAGAAGGUUGACUUGUCAGCCUUAGCUAAUCUGCUAUGCAAAGGUUGG